AAACAACUAAGGUGGCAUAUUGGGUCGUGUAUUCUUGGGAUCCAAUUACAUAUUCAACAUUGGGUUGUAAUAUAUAAUAUUUACUAUUGGCCUCUUUUACUGUAGAAACUAGAAAAGUAACGUGAUCUCCGAUUUCAUCUUCUCCGUCCUUACCAGCAGUCACUCUUCUGCUCUUCCGAUCAUAAUAUACCUCUUCCUCCAAUGCCGAUUUAUCCGAUUUCAUCUCCCUUUGGUGUCUCCUGUAGACCUCCAGCCUCCUCAGUCCGCUAGCCGGAUCGGCUGUUCUUGUCAUCGGACCAUUGUUGCGGUCGCAUCUCGGCAUUUUUGACUCCCUUGCACAGCUGCUGUCGCGACUAGUGUUGCUGUGGUCGUCUCUCUUCUUCACUCACCAUCGCUCGUUGUUAAGAAAUUUAGCACAGAGUCAUCCACUGUUGUGCAUAAGAUGGAAAGUGGUGAGCAAGUCACUUAGAAAAUGACUUCAAUGGAAAAGAAGAGGAAAAUCCCAAACGAGUUCCCUAAUCCAAGGAAUGUCCAAAGCUUUCUCAAGUAUUCCACCACUCUUCCAAACCUUUAUG